rnacentral:misc_RNA from 1 species
UUUAUUUCUUGCCUCCCAUAUUCCAUUUACCAGAUUGAUACUGCUAUUUGAAAUGAUAGUUAGGGUUUAAAAUUUGAAACUAAUACUUGUAUUGUGUAGGAGAUAGGCUAGAAUUGAUUGGAGUUUGGUUUUUGACAACCAUGAUAAAAUAGUUUUUUAACUAAUUAUUGAAAAAAUUAUUAUAGCCGACCUAAAUAGUUUGGGAUUAAGGCUUAGCUG